GGGCACUUGGUGCCUGGGUGGCGCAGCUAACGCAUUAAGUUAUCCGCCUGGGGAGUACGGUCGCAAGAUUAAAACUCAAAGGAAUUGACGGGGGCCUGCACAAGCGGUGGAGCAUGUGGUUUAAUUCGAAGCAACGCGCAGAACCUUACCAGCGUUUGACAUGCCGGUCGCGGAUUCCAGAGAUGGAUUCCUUCAGUUCGGCUGGACCGUGCACAGGUGCUGCAUGGCUGUCGUCAGCUCGUGUCGUGAGAUGUUGGGUUAAGUCCCGCAACGAGCGCAACCCUCGCCUUUAGUUGCCAGCAUUCAGUUGGGUACUCUAAAGGAACCGCCGGUGAUAAGCCGGAGGAAGGUGGGGAUGACGUCAAGUCCUUAUGGCCCUUACGCGCUGGGCUACACACGUGCUACAAUGGCAGGUACAGUGGGCAGCAAUCCCGCGAGGGUGAGCUAAUCUCCAAAACCUGUCUCAGUUCGGAUUGUUCUCUGCAACUCGAGAGCAUGAAGGCGGAAUCGCUAGUAAUCGCGGAUCAGCAUGCCGCGGUGAAUACGUUCCCAGGCCUUGUACACACCGCCCGUCACACCAUGGGAGUUGGGUUCACCCGAAGGCGUUGCGCUAACUCGCAAGAGAGGCAGGCGACCACGGUGGGCUUAGCGACUGGGGUGAAGUCGUAACAAGGUAGCCG
rnacentral:rRNA from 1 species